CUCGAACGUAAGAUGACUGUAGGUGAAAGCUUACAUCUCUUCGGAGCAUUUUACGAGGUGCUGCAUGGUUGUCGUCAGCUCGUGCCGUGAGGUGUCGGGUUAAGUCCCAUAACGAGCGCAACCCCUACCUUUAGUUGCCAUCAGGUUAAGCUGGGGACUCUAAAGGAACUGCCUACGCAAGUAGUGAGGAAGCGGGGAUGACGUCAAAUCAGCACGGCCCUUACGUCCAGGGCUACACACGUGCUACAAUGGCCGAUACAGAGGGCAGCUACCUGGUGACAGGAUGCAAAUCUCCAAAGUCGGUCUCAGUUCGGAUCGGAGUCUGCAACCCGACUCCGUGAAGUUGGAUUCGCUAGUAAUCGCGCAUCAGCCAUGGCGCGGUGAAUACGUUCCCGGGCCUU
rnacentral:rRNA from 1 species